GAUAGGUAUAUCUCUUUUGGCCUUCAAUAUUGGCAGUAGCCAUAUUAUGGACCUGGCUGGGAUAGACGCAUCUUCAGGAAUUGCUAUUGGUUUCAGGCUGUACUUCUGCUCUAUGGCAUUGGUUGGAUAUUUGUUUCUGUUUAUAAUAAGGCUCAGUGGUGACAGUGCCAGAAUAUUUCAAGAAUAGGUUUGGUAGCUAUCAGAGUGAGAUCCUUCUCUCCAUUCUGUAUUUAUUCCUCUGUAUCUUCAAUAAGAUAC
rnacentral:lncRNA from 1 species